GGAGUUACACCUAGCAGUGCUUCUCGCUCUGGAUGAGCUGGAGACAGACUCUUGCAGAGUAGCAGGAGUCUCCAGAACUGACAGAAACUCAGAGAUGGGGAAAUAGCAGAACCAAGCAGGGCAAGAGAAACAAGAAGUCAGAAUAAGUGUGAAGACUUCUGUGAGAGCUGCUCUGUUGCCUAUACCCUGAAAAAAAAGGGGGCCUCCCGCUUCUAGAGUCAGCUCUUCAGGAAACCUAGACGCCACUACAUUUUAACUGUCUAGAUCUAACUGAACUGUGGUUAUAGUCAAGUAUUUAACAGCAUUUCACACUUCUACUGUCAUCUGGAUUACAUAACAAUGUGCUGAUUUUAUAAACAGCAACUACUCAUUUUUGUGGUUGAGUUUUACUGGA